UGCAGUCGAGCGGUAAGGCCCUUCGGGGUACACGAGCGGCGAACGGGUGAGUAACACGUGAGCAACCUGCCCCUGACUCCGGGAUAAGCGGUGGAAACGCCGUCUAAUACCGGAUACGACCUUCCGCCUCAUGGCGGUGGGUGGAAAGUUUUUUCGGUUGGGGAUGGGCUCGCGGCCUAUCAGCUUGUUGGUGGGGUAACGGCCUACCAAGGCGAUUACGGGUAGCCGGCCUGAGAGGGCGACCGGCCACACUGGGACUGAGACACGGCCCAGACUCCUGCGGGAGGCAGCAGUGGGGAAUAUUGCGCAAUGGGCGAAAGCCUGACGCAGCGACGCCGCGUGGGGGAUGACGGCCUUCGGGUUGUAAACCUCUUUUACCACCAACGCAGGCUCCGGGUUCUCCCGGGGUUGACGGUAGGUGGGGAAUAAGGACCGGCUAACUACGUGCCAGCAGCCGCGGUAAUACGUAGGGUCCGAGCGUUGUCCGGAAUUAUUGGGCGUAAAGAGCUCGUAGGCGGCGUGUCGCGUCUGCUGUGAAAGACCGGGGCUUAACUCCGGUUCUGCAGUGGAUACGGGCAUGCUAGAGGUAGGUAGGGGAGACUGGAAUUCCUGGUGUAGCGGUGAAAUGCGCAGAUAUCAGGAGGAACACCGGUGGCGAAGGCGGGUCUCUGGGCCUUACCUGACGCUGAGGAGCGAAAGCAUGGGGAGCGAACAGGAUUAGAUACCCUGGUAGUCCAUGCCGUAAACGUUGGGCGCUAGGUGUGGGGACUUUCCACGGUUUCCGCGCCGUAGCUAACGCAUUAAGCG
rnacentral:rRNA from 1 species